GAUGAACGCUGGCGGCGUGCCUAAUACAUGCAAGUCGAGCGAACGGACGAGAAGCUUGCUUCUCUGAUGUUAGCGGCGGACGGGUGAGUAACACGUGGAUAACCUACCUAUAAGACUGGGAUAACUUCGGGAAACCGGAGCUAAUACCGGAUAAUAUUUCGAACCGCAUGGUUCAAAAGUGAAAGACGGUCUUGCUGUCACUUAUAGAUGGAUCCGCGCUGCAUUAGCUAGUUGGUAAGGUAACGGCUUACCAAGGCAACGAUGCAUAGCCGACCUGAGAGGGUGAUCGGCCACACUGGAACUGAGACACGGUCCAGACUCCUACGGGAGGCUGCAGUAGGGAAUCUUCCGCAAUGGGCGAAAGCCUGACGGAGCAACGCCGCGUGAGUGAUGAAGGUCUUCGGAUCGUAAAACCCUGUUAUUAGGGAAGAACAUAUGUGUAAGUAACUGUGCACAUCUUGACGGUACCUAAUCAGAAAGCCACGGCUAACUACGUG
rnacentral:rRNA from 1 species